CCUUGCAGUGCCACAACUACACAAUUGAAGAGCUCAUCACCAAGAGCUUCAACAACGUCAUCUAGCAAUCAGAUUGGCUAGAUGAAUAUGGAGAAAGGUGAAUUUCAUGUAAGACGUGGUUGAGAUUUGUAAUAGAAAUUGGAUGUGAAGUUGACCACAAAGCACUUGCAUGCCUUAAAAUCAAAUCCACCAUCUGGUAUGGUUGUGCAUAUUCUAUCUCCAAUUCUUAGAGUACAGGAACUGAGGGCAACAAUACCAAAUCACAAGAAAAGGUGGUGGCAUUGAUGAAUAACUAACGAAUUUGAAAGCCAUUGAAGGUACUCCCUUUCUCUAUCUCUCUUGUCUUUAUUUUUUUUCUUUGAACUGUAUAGGGAGGUUGCAUUGGACUUGGCCAAUACACCACUAAAAAAUUAUGACAAACUG